CACGCCGGCGGCCCGGGGCUGCAGCGUCUCCCUUUCUUCCGUCUUUGCGGCGCCGCCCGGCCAGGGAUGUCGUCCAGCCGCCAGCCCGUUCCCGAGGACGAGCUGAAAGGUAAAUAUAUUGCUUCAACCCAGCGACCAGACGGGACCUGGAGGAAGCAGCGGAAAGUGAAAGAAGGUUACGUGCCUCAGGAAGAAGUUCCUGUGUAUGAAAACAAGUAUGUAAAGUUCUUCAAGAGUAAACCUGAACUACCUCCCGGGCUGAGCCUUGAGGCUGGGGUCCCAGCCCCACCCCGGCUAGACAGUGGUGAACCAGGCCUUUCUAAGACUGCCAAACGCAACCUGAAACGCAAGGAGAAGAGGCGGCAGCAGCAAGGGAAGGGGGCAGCAGAGACCUUGAGCCGGACUCUGGAUAAAGUGUCACUGAAGGAGCCAGCACAGCUGCCAAGCGUGCCUCCUGCUCCCCGAGCCGCCCCUGCAACCAACCCUGACAAACCCGAUACACUUUCCACCACCGAGAAAGCCAAGAAGAUAAAGAACCUGAAGAAGAAACUUCGUCAGAUAGUGGAGCUGCAGCAGCGCAUCCAGAGCGGGGAGAUCAGUCAUCCCAGCAGAGAGCAGUUAGAAAAACUGGCGAGGAGGGGGGCCUUAGAAGAAGAGUUGGAGGACUUGGAGUUAGGCUUAUGAGGCUCCUCAUGGACUGGGAAUGUGGACUGUAGGAUAAACCGUGACGUUCCCUCAGAGGGGCCUGGAGAUUGUGGUGGCGGCAGCAGCAGCCUGGAGGGAUACGCCCUGCUCUCUGCCCUCCUAUUCUUGCCCCACUGUCUCUGGCCCAGCCUUUCCUUCCAGAGCUUCACCUCUCCAUUAAUCCUCACCUUGAGCCCUUACUUCUCGGACUCUACCCUUCCCUUUCCCUGUGUCCGGAAUCUCAGUGACUGUCCCAGGAAAAUGAUUUUGAGAUUGAAAAGGACAGGACAAAAUUGAUUAGCAGGGAAUGGAGACUCAAGAUAAAUGAGACAGCAUCUAUCUGCCCUCCAGGCCUAGAUGAACUCUAUCCAAGGAUAUUGAAAGAAGGGGAAGAUGUGAUUGCUGAACCAUUAUUGAUCACUGACACUUUAGGAAGACCAGGAGAGGUGCUCCAGUGCUGAAGAAGGGCAAAUAUCCUGACUUUCAAAAAAAGAAGAGGGUGGAUUCUACAAACUGUAAUCCAUCAAACUUGACUUCUGUUCUUAGCAAAAUUCUAUAUCAACAUUCACUUUUUAAAAAAAAUUUGAAUUCUAAAUUCUCUCCCUCUAGCCCCUCCUCCACCCAUUG